CCUACGGGAGGCAGCAGUGGGGAAUAUUGGACAAUGGGCGAAAGCCUGAUCCAGCCAUGCCGCGUGUGUGAAGAAGGCCUUCGGGUUGUAAAGCACUUUCAGUGGGGAAGAAAGCCUUGGGGCUAAUACCCUCGAGGAAGGACAUCACCCACAGAAGAAGCACCGGCUAACUCCGUGCCAGCAGCCGCGGUAAUACGGAGGGUGCGAGCGUUAAUCGGAAUUACUGGGCGUAAAGCGCGCGUAGGCGGUCUGAUAAGCCGGUUGUGAAAGCCCCGGGCUCAACCUGGGAACGGCAUCCGGAACUGUCGGGCUAGAGUGCAGGAGAGGAAGGUAGAAUUCCCGGUGUAGCGGUGAAAUGCGUAGAGAUCGGGAGGAAUACCAGUGGCGAAGGCGGCCUUCUGGACUGACACUGACGCUGAGGUGCGAAAGCGUGGGUAGCAAACAGGAUUAGAUACCCCAGUAGUC
rnacentral:rRNA from 1 species